AACGCACAUUGCGCCUCUCUUUCGAGAGGCAUGCCUGUCUGAGCGUCAUUUAAAUCAAAUGAGACUUGGGUCUCGUGUUGGGCAUCGCCCUUGGGCGUAGCCUCGAUGCCAUCGGUCUUAAUGAGCGGGCGAGUUCCUCUAGGACGGACCACUCAUGGCCUGAAGACUUCUGAAUUGACCUCAGAUCAGGUAGGACUACCGCCUGAACUUAA
rnacentral:misc_RNA from 1 species